AGGACGAACGCUGGCGGCGUGCUUAACACAUGCAAGUCGAGCGGUAAGGCCUUUCGGGGUACACGAGCGGCGAACGGGUGAGUAACACGUGGGUGAUCUGCCCUGCACUCUGGGAUAAGCCUGGGAAACUGGGUCUAAUACCGGAUAUGACCUGCUCUCGCAGUGGGGGUGGGUGGAAAGAUUUAGUCGGUGCA
rnacentral:rRNA from 1 species